rnacentral:tRNA from 1 species
UCUACCUUAGUUUAAUUAAGACGUUGAAGUGUGGAUUCAAAGAAAGAGUGAUCCUUUAGGUAGAG